GAAGUAAAAGAGAAUCCAGAAGGGACAGACAACCCAGCUAAAGAAGACAUUCAGUCACCCUCUCAAAAGCGUAAAGAAGCUUCUGGCUCCACUGAAGUUAAGCAAGAGGAGGAAAGUGGCUCAGCUGCAAAAAAACCUAAAAUUGAUCCUAUUGGAGAACCUGGAACUUCUGGGGUAUCCAGCACUAGUAAGACAAGGAAGUUUAAGGAGGGAGUAGUAACUGAUGAUGACCUUCAAACACUUGGCAAAUAUAUUGCUGACAAAUGGGAUGAUCUGGCACGUCGACUUGAAAUUACGAGAGCAGACAUAGCAAUAAUUGAUCACGAUUUUAAGUCUUUGUCUAAGAAGGGAUAUCAAAUACUGCAUCUGUGGAAAUCAAAAAAUGGGGAAGAUGCAGACUAUAAAACUUUGUAUAAUGCAUUAGUCCACAAUUUGGUACAGCGGAGAGACUUAGCAGAAAAAUAUUGUUUUGAAUAAUAAUAUCUCUUUGAUAUUACUCAUAUCAAAACCUGGGAGAACAGACGGCCACUAGGUGGAAAGUAUAGAUAACUUUGCUGGUUACCAAGAAAUUCCAGUUGGCUAUUAAUUUUAAGAAUCUAGUGAUUAUUUUAACCUUGAUUUACGGCCUUUUAUUGAUAGCCUUUUUAAAACAUUUUUGGUGUGUUAAUAAUGGUAAUUGAAAUAAGUGGAGUGGAAUUUUGGCUGCAAUCAUAUGCAUGAUUUCAAAAUCGAACGAAUGUGAGUUCAAUUUGAAUCAAAAGUAUGAUUUCAGACCAAAAUUGCACGACAUGAGGUUCAAUUACCACUUUAUUACAUCCAUUUUAAAAUCGCCCAAAAACUGGACUUGGUCAGUUCUUAUAUUUUAUUGAUGCAGUACUGAGCUGAUUUGAAAUUAAAUUCAUCCAUUUUCUGGGGGGAAAAAUAAGAGUUUUGGAAAGUUUUGUUUUUGGUGUGACCUGCUCAUUGGCUGGGAAAAGAUGCGAUUUAAAGCAAAAAAUGGUGCAAUUUGUGAAUAAAUUGUACCAAUUAGAGCCAAUCAGAUUACAAAGAACACUAGUGAUUUCAAAACGGGUGUAAUAAAGCUGAAUAUUGCACACGCAUUUGAUUAGAUCUAUCGGAGGACAGACUCAUAUAUAAGGUAGAGUAUUUCAGAUAAACUAAGCAGUCUAAGUUUUUUAAUGUAGGCCACUAUAUAUAGUUUUUAAAAAUAAAAACAGAACUGCUUGUUUGGAGCAUUUUGGCUAGUGAUUAAGUUAGCGUUUUUGGAUCCGCGUUUUUCAUGAUUGAGGAACGCAACACAUGCAGUCGUUCGUCAUUGGUAAUCACAGCCUUAAUUUGUUUCAGUACAAAUCGGGCAUGACAAUAAUGUUAUUUUCCAUGGUAGUAUUAUAGUUAACAAGUGUUUGCUUAGCAGCUUUCCUGUAUGAAAUGUAAUGGAAUAUUUACCCGGUUAUG